rnacentral:rRNA from 1 species
CAUGGCGCUAAGGGAUGCCUUACGCCUGCUCGUCGAACGGCAGCACGGACUUCGGUCUGGUGGCGAGUGGCGAACGGGUGAGUAAUGUAUCGGAACGUGCCCAGUAGCGGGGGAUAACUACGCGAAAGCGUAGCUAAUACCGCAUACGCCCUACGGGGGAAAGCAGGGGAUCGUAAGACCUUGCACUAUUGGAGCGGCCGAUAUCGGAUUAGCUAGUUGGUGGGGUAACGGCUCACCAAGGCGACGAUCCGUAGCUGGUUUGAGAGGACGACCAGCCACACUGGGACUGAGACACGGCCCAGACUCCUACGGGAGGCAGCAGUGGGGAAUUUUGGACAAUGGGGGAAACCCUGAUCCAGCCAUCCCGCGUGUGCGAUGAAGGCCUUCGGGUUGUAAAGCACUUUUGGCAGGAAAGAAACGUCAUGGGUUAAUACCCCGUGAAACUGACGGUACCUGCAGAAUAAGCACCGGCUAACUACGUGCCAGCAGCCGCGGUAAUACGUAGGGUGCAAGCGUUAAUCGGAAUUACUGGGCGUAAAGCGUGCGCACGCCGUUCGGAAA